UAUGGCCAAAUCACGUUGAGUCACCAGAUCCCUUACUAUCACCGAAGUUAAGCAACGUUGACUCUGGUUUGUACCUAGAUAGGUGACCGCUUGAGAAUACCAGGU